rnacentral:lncRNA from 1 species
CCAGAGGGGCGACGCUCAGAGGGAAGUGGCCGGCCUCCCCUUUCCAAUUCCCCAGCCCCGCACUCCAUCCACUUCAUACUUAUGUGAACAAAAAGUGGCCUUUUCAAAAAAAUAAAGGUUAAGGGAAGAAAAUACCUAAAAUUGGAGGAUUCGUCUGAGCAAAAGAGGUAGGAGUCUCACGGCAAGCAACGCUUUAAAGGAAAACAAACUUUCAUUAUUCAGUCAACAAACACAAGCUUUAACUCUUAGCAAUGGACUAGGCUGGAGGGAAUGUAAAGAUGAAUGAGACGCGUCUCUCACCCUUCGAGAGUCCUACUCAGUGUCCCUUGACACCUGCCAGGAGAGAGUUACUGCACCUUGGUCCCAAACAGACACCUGCCCCAUGCCUUCCUGGGGUUGCUGGGGCCAGAAAGAAUGCCGAAAAACAACCUGCAAGCUUUACAAGGCUCUUCUCACUAAUAGUCCCUGAGACAUGACAUCGAAUCCCUGGACUGCUCAAGAGCGCCUUCUCCUACGUCCUGAUUGGAUUGGCCUACAAUGAUUAUGGUCCCCAAGGCCAGAGCUGUGCCCCUGAAUCCAGGCGCUGCAUUUCCCCAAGGGCACGCUGUCCCGGAGUCAUUGCCCAUCGCCAACUCUCAGUUUCCCCUCAGGGCAGGGCCUAGGCCAAGGGUUCUAGGUUAUGUUCUGAGCUGCAGUAGGAUUCUGUCAAGGCACGUCAGCAUCUCGCAUGGGUUUGGGAGGAGGCUGAGUGGUCGGCUUCGACCCUUCCAGCACCCCUACCGCACUCGAGCUAGACAGAGCACCCCUACUUCCCUCUGUUCGUCAGACUGGCUAAGCCAUAAGAUUGUAUUUGGAGAAAGGGAUUUUCCUGUGAAAGAGAAACACCUUUUGAAAACCACUGAGGAGGUUAUCUGAGACAGCGUGGGGACCACACGAAACAGCAGAGCUGUCAUCUCCACAGCAGAAACCAAAGCCGAUUGUUGUGAAAGGGUCUGGAGAGCAUUUGCCCAUGUUUCCCCACCUCACUGCCAUAGCUGCUGGGACUCCAGAGGCUGAACUGAACUCCGGGGAAGGUGGGCCAACUGGCAAGUAGGGCUGACUGAAAAAAUAGAGGACAGGGCAGAAUUAGAGGGGAAAAAAUGAUAAUGUUUUCUUUUUCCCUUCAGCAGGACUUUCUGAAGCUGAACUCUGCAUAAUAAUAGAGACUCCACAGUAAUCUAAACCGAGGGCCAUCAUCCAAGUCACCUUGCCAGCCAAGCUUUAAAAAGAGCUGUCCAGAAACAGCCAAGAUGGCAGCCCUGUAGCUGGCCGUGUGCAAGUCUGCAUGAUGGAG